rnacentral:rRNA from 1 species
AACGCUGGCGGCGUGCCUAUACAUGCAAGUCGAACGGAGAUUGUAGCAAUACUUUCUUAGUGGCGAACGGGUGAGUAACGCGUUGGUGACCUGCCCCGAAGUGAGGGAUAACAGCCCGAAAGGGUUGCUAAUACCUCAUGCGGUUCUGGAGAUUAGAUGCUCCUUAACCAAAGGAGAAAUCCGCUUUGGGAGGGACCUGCGUCCCAUCAGCUUGUUGGUAGGGUAAAGGCCUACCAAGGCUAUGACGGGUAGGGGACCUGAGAGGGUGGCCCCCCACAAUGGAACUGAAACACGGUCCAUACACCUACGGGUGGCAGCAGUAGGGAAUAUUGGUAAUGGGCGAAAGCCUGAACCAGCAACGCCGCGUGUGCGAUGAAGGCCUUCGGGUUGUAAAGCACUUUUUAAGAGGAUGAGGAAGGACAGUACUCUUAGAAUAAGCCUCGGCUAACUACGUGCCAGCAGCCGCGGUAACACGUAGGAGGCAAGCGUUAUUCGGAUUUACUGGGCGUAAAGCGCGUGCAGGCGGUUUGGUAAGUUGGAUGUGAAAGCUCCUGGCUUAACUGGGAGAGGUCGUUCAAUACUACCAGACUAGAGGAUGGGAGAGGGAGGUGGAAUUCCGGGUGUAGUGGUGAAAUGCGUAGAUAUCCGGAGGAACACCAGUGGCGAAAGCGGCCUCCUGGCCCAUUUCUGACGCUCAGACGCGAAAGCUAGGGUAGCAAACGGGAUUAGAGACCCCGGUAGUCCUAGCUGUAGACGAUGUGAACUUGGCGUCGGCGGGUUUAAAUCCGUCGGUGCCGAAGCUAACGCGAUAAGUCACCGCCUGGGAUACGCCGCA